GCCGGGCGCGGUGGCUCACGCCUGUAAUCCCAGCACUUUUGGAGGCUGAGACGGGUGGAUCACUUGAGGUCAGGAGUUCAAGACAAGCCUGGCCAACAUGGUGAAACCCCGUCUCUA
rnacentral:SRP_RNA from 1 species